rnacentral:rRNA from 1 species
UACAGAGGGGGGCAAGCGUUAUUCGGAAUUAUUUGGGCGUAAAGGGCGCGUAGGCGGCGAUUCAAGUGACGGGUGAAAUCCCUCGGCUUAACCGAGGAACUGCCUGUCAGACUUGGGUUUGCUUGAGACCGGGAGAGGCGAGUGGAAUUUCCCAGUGUAGCGGUGAAAUGCGUAGAUAUUGGGAGGAACACCAGUGGCGAAGGCGGCUCGCUGGACCGGAACUGACGCUGAGGCGCGGAAAAGCGUGGGGAGCAAACAGG